GCCCUCUUCAUCUUCAGUCGCUGCUGUGCUGCUGCGGUGACUGGCCAGACCGAGAGGGAAACAGAGAGCAAGGGAGCCGGCUGAUCCUCUGUGGUUCUAGGAGCAACUUGAGGAACUAGACAAUACAUUUAGCUAGUAAACAACCCACUUGAAGGAGUUGGUGAAGAGCACAAUCUCGAUCAAAGUUUGGAAUUCUAGACACUUCACUUGAGGUUCUGAAAUGCAUGAAGUCUUGGAGAACUAGAACAGAAAUGUUAUAUUUUGAAUGCCCACUUUUGUAAUUGUACUUUUGGAAACGUUAGUAUCUUUUGGAUGAUUUUUGUGUUUUUGGGAAAAUGUGAAUCCUGUGGUGCUUCUGUGCCCUGGAUUAGGAACUUUAAAUUGUAAAUUAAGUUGAA